rnacentral:rRNA from 1 species
UACGAAGGGGGCUAGCGUUGCUCGGAAUCACUGGGCGUAAAGCGCACGUAGGCGGCUUCUUAAGUCAGGGGUGAAAUCCUGGAGCUCAACUCCAGAACUGCCUUUGAUACUGAGGAGCUUGAGUCCGGGAGAGGUGAGUGGAACUGCGAGUGUAGAGGUGAAAUUCGUAGAUAUUCGCAAGAACACCAGUGGCGAAGGCGGCUCACUGGCCCGAUACUGACGCUGAGGCACGAAAGCGUGGGGAGCGAACAGG